rnacentral:rRNA from 1 species
UUGGAGGGCAAGUCUGGUGCCAGCAGCCGCGGUAAUUCCAGCUCCAAUAGCGUAUAUUAAAGUUGUUGCAGUUAAAAAGCUCGUAGUUGAAUUUCGGGAUUGACGUGAUGGUCAUGCCUUAAGGGGUAUGAACUGUCACUGUUGAUUUCUCACCUUCUGGAGAAACUUGAUGUCCUUUAUUGGGUGUCUUGCGGAUCCAGGGCCUUUACCUUGAAAAAAUUAGAGUGUUUAAAGCAGGCAUUUUUGCUCGAAUACAUUAGCAUGGAAUAAUAGAAUAGGACGGCAUGGUUCUAUUUUGUUGGUUUCUAGGAUCACCGUAAUGAUUAAUAGGGAUAGUUGGGGGCAUUAGUAUUCAAUUGUCAGAGGUGAAAUUCUUGGAUUUGUUGAAGACUAACUACUGCGAAAGCGUUUGCCAAGGAUGUUUUCAUUAAUCAAGAACGGAAGUUAGGGGAUCGAAGACGAUCAGAUACCGUCGUAGUCUUAACCAUAAACUAUGCCGACUAGGAAUCAGACGAUGUUAAUUUUUUAAUGACUCGUUUGGCAGCUUACGGGAAACCAAAGUGUUUGGGUUC